UAGGGAAUCUUCGGCAAUGGACGAAAGUCUGACCGAGCAACGCCGCGUGAGUGAAGAAGGUUCUCGGAUCGUAAAACUCUGUUGUUAGAGAAGAACAAGGACGUUAGUAACUGAACGUCCCCUGACGGUAUCUAACCAGAAAGCCACGGCUAACUACGUGCCAGCAGCCGCGGUAAUACGUAGGUGGCAAGCGGUGUCCGGAUUUAGUGGGCGUAAAGCGAGCGCAGGCGGUUUCUUAAGUCUGAUGUGAAAGCCCCCGGCACAACCGGGGAGGGUCAUGGGAAACUGGGAGUCUUGAGUGCAGAAGGGGAGAGUGGAGUUCCAUGUGUAGCGGUAAAAUGCGUAGAUAUAUGGGGGAACACCAGUGGCGAGGGCGGCUCUCUGGUCUGUAACUGACGCUGGGGCUCGAAAGCGUGGGGAGCAAACAGG
rnacentral:rRNA from 1 species